UUGGAGGUUGUGAUCCAUCCCAACUCCCAUCCUCUCGUGGUAAUAAAGAGAAGGAGAAAGCAAAGCCGAAGAAGUCACAUUAUGUAAUAAAAGUAUUGUCACAAAAAGAAGCAUCGACAUCAUCUGUCGAAGCCCCACCUGUUGCACAAUCCUUACCCACACCAUCACCAUCCUCAGUUGCUGCAGCCACACCAUCUCUUGUUGUUGCACCCAUAUGGUCACCAUCAUCAGUUGUUGCAACCACACCAUCCCUAACUGGUACAACCACACCAUGAUCACCUACUCAAUGCCUACAAGACCGACCAUCAUAACAGGAUGCUUCAUCAUCCUCUAGAGAAAAUCUUGAGAACUUGUCUCAUGAACAUGAUUCAGAUGGGAAAUGGAAGAACCUUUACUGAUGAUCACCCUAUGAUUAUACCCAAUGGUGGAGAAAUUGCAUCACAAGCUAUCUCAAUGACCAUCUAACUGCAAUUUCUUCAUCCAUGGCCUACACGGGGAGUAAUGAAAGACCAUGAAAAUGAUGCCUUCUUCUAGCGCUUUAAGAGGUUGGUGAUGUGGAGGUUUGAGCAUAAGGACAGGAUUAGGAGAAAUUUUCACAGUAAAGCCUCUCAUAGAUUGUCUUAUAUGUUUGGCAAUGCUCGAAAGACUCAUAAGAAGCCAAGAUGGCUUGGAGAUGGCAUAUGGCACCGUUUUUAACACAUUGGAAUACAAAAGCUUAUCUUGCAAAGUCAUCACAAGCAAUAAUAAAUCGUUCGUCUAAAAAAGGUGGGGCCCUUCAUAUAGGUGGCUUCAUUAGCAUGCAUGAUCAUACCAUGCACAUGAAGAAUUUGGUCAUUCUGUACAUACUGUUGAGGUCUUUUAACAGACCCAUAUAAGAAAGGAUACUAGUGAAUUUGUCGAUGAAAGAUCUAGGAGAACGCAUGUCAAUUUUUUUAAUUAUUUUUUCUUCAUUUUAUUCACAUUAUUAUGUUACUGAAAGUUGUCUUUGAAAAAUUUCAAAGAAUAUAUUCUCAAGCUAGGUCUAAGGCUGCAUCAUCUGUUAGGGAAUUAGAGACUAGCCCUACUUUGGAGGAGAGUAUUAGGUCUAGGUGUUGAGACAAAGCUGUUGGUGAAAAGACUAAAGGACAACUCUACAUGGCUAGAGACCUUUCUCAUGAUUAUGAAGGUGGAGACUGUAGCCUCACGCAAAAAAGGAAAGCAUCAAGUAGUUGUUCACUUGAUUUAGAAUACAUUAUCUCGCUGAGACAACAACUUUCACUAAGUGAGGAGUGCAGCGCUGUGUCUUUUUAUUGUUUGUUCAAGUGAUUUAAUUAAAUUAUAAGAUAAAUUAAAUUUAGUUGAAGUA